rnacentral:rRNA from 1 species
AACGAACGCUGGCGGCAUGCCUAACACAUGCAAGUCGAACGAGACCUUCGGGUCUAGUGGCGCACGGGUGCGUAACGCGUGGGAACCUGCCUUUAGGUUCGGAAUAACUCAGAGAAAUUUGAGCUAAUACCGGAUGAUGUCUUCGGACCAAAGAUUUAUCGCCUUUAGAUGGGCCCGCGUUGGAUUAGCUAGUUGGUGGGGUAAAGGCCUACCAAGGCGACGAUCCAUAGCUGGUCUGAGAGGAUGAUCAGCCACACUGGGACUGAGACACGGCCCAGACUCCUACGGGAGGCAGCAGUGGGGAAUAUUGGACAAUGGGCGAAAGCCUGAUCCAGCAAUGCCGCGUGAGUGAUGAAGGCCUUUGGGUUGUAAAGCUCUUUUACCCGAGAUGAUAAUGACAGUAUCGGGAGAAUAAGCUCCGGCUAACUCCGUG